rnacentral:tRNA from 1 species
GAGAGUAUAGCUCAGUGGUAGAGCGUUCGAUCAGAGAUCGAGAGGUCCCCGGUUCAAAUCCGUGUGUUACCA